CAAACGUAUCUCAUGUUUCCUGUGAAAGCAGGAAAAUGUCAGAGCAGAUGUUUAUCAGUCGAGCCGGGCCGCAGCAGAACCGGAUCAGAACCGGCAGCAGAACCGACCCGGAGGAGCCGCUCAGCAUUCAGCUGGUGAAUGUUUCCCAACCAGGGACCAAACCAGAGAGCGUGUGGGGUCACGCCGGGCGCUCCGUGAGCCCCCGGUCCUCCAGCCUGCGGCAGGAAACGGGUCAUUAAGCUGCGCAGGAAAUCGCGGCGCCGCGUUAAACCGGAUUCCUGGGAGCGAUCCGACACGCGGCGCCGUGACGGCUCCGCCUGAUGGAUGCGUCUCGUCUGAAUGUUUCAUCAGAGCAGCGGGAGGCUGAGCGCAGCCGCAUGCUAACACCAGCCAUCAUCAUCAUCAUCAUCAUCAUCAUCAUCAUCAUCAUCAUCACCUCUGGUGGAGGAACUGGAGGUGGGAAGUUACCCAUGAAAAACGGAAACUUCAAGACAAACUCAAAUACCAAAAACUUCCAGCGUAAACCGCUGAACUCGCUCCACCG